rnacentral:rRNA from 1 species
CAUGCAAGUCGAACGGAGAUUACAGGCGGAAGUUUUCGGAUGGAAGCUUGUAAACUUAGUGGCGGACGGGUGAGUAACACGUGAGCAACCUGCCUAUCAGAGGGGGAUAACGAUUGGAAACGAUCGCUAAUACCGCAUGACAUAGCGGAAUCGCAUGGUUCUGUUAUCAAAGAUUUUAUCGCUGAUAGAUGGGCUCGCGUCCGAUUAGAUAGUUGGUGGGGUAACGGCCUACCAAGUCGACGAUCGGUAGCCGGACUGAGAGGUCGAACGGCCACAUUGGGACUGAGACACGGCCCAGACUCCUACGGGAGGCAGCAGUGGGGGAUAUUGCACAAUGGGGGAAACCCUGACGCAGCGACGCCGCGUGAGGGAAGACGGUCCUCUGGAUUGUAAACCUCUGUCUUCGGGGACGAAACGAGACGG